rnacentral:rRNA from 1 species
AACCUACCCUCGGGAUGGGGAUAACCCCGGGAAACUGGGACUAACACCCAAUAAACGAUGGCGCCUGGAAUGGUCUAUCGUCAAAAGACUCUGGAAGCAUGCUUCCAGCGUCGCCCGAGGAUGGGACUGCGUCCGAUCAGGUUGUUGGCGGGGUAACGGCCCACCAAGCCUAUAACCGGUACGGGCCCUGAGAGGGGGAGCCCGGAGAUGGAAACUGAGACAAAGUUCCAGGCCCUACGGGGCGCAGCAGGCGCGAAAACUCCACAAUGCGCGAAAGCGUGAUGGGGUCAUCCCGAGUGCCGUCCGAUGAGGAUGGCUUUUCCUUGGCGUAAGGACCCGAGGGAAUAAAGGGGGGGCAAGACUGGUGUCAGCCGCCGCGGUAAUACCAGCCCCCUGAGUAGUAAGGACGAUUAUUUGGCCUAAAGCGUCCGUAGCCGGCUUAGUAAGUCUCUCGUCAAAUCCAAUGAUUCAAUCAUUGAGUCGCAAGAGAUACUGCUAGGCUUGAGGACGGGAGAGGUCGACGGUAGUCCAGGGGUAGGGGUGAAAUCCUAUAAUCCCUGGAGGACCA